UACGGAGGGUGCAAGCGUUAUCCGGAUUCACUGGGUUUAAAGGGUGCGUAGGAGGGCAGGUAAGUCAGUGGUGAAAUCUUUGGGCUUAACCCGAAACUGCCAUUGAUACUAUCUGUCUUGAAUGCGGUGGAGGUGAGCGGAAUAUGUCAUGUAGCGGUGAAAUGCUUAGAUAUGACAUAGAACACCGAUUGCGAAGGCAGCUCGCUACACCUGCCAUUGACU
rnacentral:rRNA from 1 species